GUGGGGAAUCUUGCGCAAUGGGCGAAAGCCUGACGCAGCCAUGCCGCGUGAAUGAUGAAGGUCUUAGGAUUGUAAAAUUCUUUCACCGGGGACGAUAAUGACGGUACCCGGAGAAGAAGCCCCGGCUAACUUCGUGCCAGCAGCCGCGGUAAUACGAAGGGGGCUAGCGUUGCUCGGAUUUACUGGGCGUAAAGGGCGCGUAGGCGGACAUUUAAGUCAGGGGUGAAAUCCCGGGGCUCAACCUCGGAACUGCCUUUGAUACUGGGUGUCUUGAGUAUGAGAGAGGUGUGUGGAACUCCGAGUGUAGAGGUGAAAUUCGUAGAUAUUCGGAAGAACACCAGUGGCGAAGGCGACACACUGGCUCAUUACUGACGCUGAGGCGCGAAAGCGUGGGGAGCAAACAGGAUUAGAAACCCCUGUAGUCC
rnacentral:rRNA from 1 species